CCAAUCUCAAAUAUGAGGUGGGCAGUCCAGAGCUAUGAUUGGUUGGCUGGCCCUCCUAGACCUGGAAUGUUGAGUCCUUAAAAAAGGAAUGAGGAAGGAAGGCUAAAACUCCCGUUGCCAGUCUUGCACGGCAAGACAAGACAUGACAGCCAUUUCGCCCAUCUGUUCUAAAGAAAAGUUACCUUCCAGCCCUGCUGUAAAAUCUCCCGUGGGCCGAGACACUUUGAUGCCCACCGUCGUCCUAAAAAGAACAUCGUGUAAACUCACCUGCAGCGUCAUCUUCA
rnacentral:lncRNA from 1 species